CAUAUAUUUCAGCCCAUCAAUAACGUUAAUAACAAACGACACGCUGUGAAGUCAAGCAUCAAGCAUGUCACUCUGGUCACCUAAUAAAGGGUGUUUGGUCCAGCAGAAGCAUGUGGUCAGACAUUGACUGUAAUGAUGGACAUCUGCUGAGUGACAGAAUUAAUUUAGAACACUUUAUAGUGUGAUUUCUGGACCAACACAAGAUCCAUUUCCCCAUUCUCUGUUGAUUCUGUCACUGCUGAUACACAAAUCAUCCACCAGUGGGCACAACAUUGACACAUUGAUCAGGUUUUCAUCAUUAAAUCUUUAUUAAAAUGAGAUGUUUGUCUGUAGAUUGAUGUGUAGACGAUGUGAUGACCAAUCCUAAGCUUCACAUCCUCCUCAUCUGAGACACAGAGAAAGAUUCAGUCAAACCUGUUACUGGAAGAGCAGAAUAAGUCAAACAGUGUUGUGUUUUCAAAACGAUUAACAAGUUAAACAUGUCUAAUAUAAUAUGAUACAGGGUCAGUAUGAAAAGGGUGUGUGUAUGGUUGCCAAAAUAAAUGUAUAGAUUUAUAUUUAUGUAGUUUGAUUUCUUAUGUUGGAGAAAAUAUCAGGGGUCACUAACUUUAUCAGUUCUUUCAGUUCUUUUAUUCCCUUUUGUCUUUUAGCUGAACUGUACCAUAAACAUGUCCUAUAGUGCGACAAAGUAAAAAAUAAGAAAAACAACUCUUAAUAACAUGAUUUAUCUUAAUUGUUGGAAUCGUAUCUUUAAUUAGUGCUAAUACUAUUUUUUUUUCUCCAUGACCAAACUUGUUGGACGUUUUCAAUAUAUACAGUACUAUGAUUGAGACGGUCACACCAUA